GGAAGUGUUUGCUCAGUGGUUAAGAUGUUGGGCUACUGAUCAGAAUGUCAUGGGUUCAAACCCCAGCACUGCCG